rnacentral:rRNA from 1 species
AACGAACGCUGGCGGCAUGCCUAACACAUGCAAGUCGAACGAGACCUUCGGGUCUAGUGGCGCACGGGUGCGUCACGCGUGGGAAUCUGCCCUUGGGUUCGGAAUAACAGUUGGAAACGACUGCUAAUACCGGAUGAUGACGUAAGUCCAAAGAUUUAUCGCCCAAGGAUGAGCCCGCGUAGGAUUAGCUAGUUGGUGAGGUAAAGGCUCACCCAGGCGACGAUCCUUAGCUGGUCUGAGAGGAUGAUCAGCCACACUGGGUGAGAGACGGGGUCCAGACACCGGCGGUGGGCAGCGGCCGGGACUCUUGGGGGAGGGGGAAGUGGGGAAUAUAGGAAAACGGGGGAAGUGAUGAAGGCGUUAGGGCGGGAGAGCCAUGUAGGCGGUAGGGUAGAAAAGCUGUUUAACCCGGGAUUGUAAUGACGGUACCGGAAGAAUAAGCACCGGCUAACUCCGUG